CCUACGGGAGGCAGCAGUGGGGAAUAUUGCACAAUGGGGGAAACCCUGAUGCAGCGACGCCGCGUGAGUGAAGAAGUAUUUCGGUAUGUAAAGCUCUAUCAGCAGGGAAGAAAAGGAAGGUACCUGAUUCAGAUGCCCCGGCUAACUACGUGCCAGCAGCCGCGGUAAUACGUAGGGGGCCAGCGUUAUCCGGAUUUACUGGGUGUAAGGGGAGCGUAGGCGGCAGCGCAAGUCUGAAGUGAAAUGCCGGGGCUCAACCCCGGAACUGCUUUGGAAACUGUGCAGCUAGAGUGCAGGAGAGGUAAGUGGAAUUCCUAGUGUAGCGGUGAAAUGCGUAGAUAUUAGGAGGAACACCAGUGGCGAAGGCAGCUUACUAGACUGUAACUGACGUUGAGGCUCGAAAGCGUGGGGAGCAAACAGGAUUAGAUACCCCAGUAGUC
rnacentral:rRNA from 1 species